GCGAAGGUGGCGGAAUUGGCAGACGCACUAGCUUGAGGUGCUAGCGCCCGAAAGGGCAUCGGGGUUCAAGUCCCCGCCUUCGCA
rnacentral:tRNA from 1 species